AUAAAAAUGGACCCAUACCACAAACUCUGACAGAAGAAGUACAUCAGUUCAGACAGCUUACUGUUGAUGGUGUCAUGCUGCGAAUAUCGAGCAGAGAUGAUUGCAUUGCUAUUCAUGGCAAAGUGAUUUCAGUAAAAAACAUAAUUGCUUAUGGGGGUAAAGAGUAUGUUAUGUUUCAAGAGUAUAGAGAGAAAGAGGCCUUAUACACUUACCCUCUUGACUCCAGAAACAUGGGAGUAUUCAUUGUGUCCAAUUUGUCAACAGUGAUGCACUUUACUGAGCUCACAAAGCCCUGGCAGAAGUGUGUGAGGUUGCCUCUGGGAGACAAAUUUGCAGUCUUCCCUCUGACUCACACAUCUUAAUAAUAUCACCAAUUAAUGUACAUAGUUCUUGAGAAGCAGCAACACCAUUUCUGGAUUAUAUUGUGGGACAUGCUUUUCCAAUGUAUCAUAUCGUAAUCUUUGAAACCACAAAUGAAGUCGAGGUUGUCCCCCAUAAUUGGGUAAGGGACAAUGUUUGUAUGUGGCCUCCAUACAAAUAUGAAGAUAGAGUUAAAGCCAUAAAAUCAAUGGUAAAGCCAGGACCAUCCUGGACCCCCUUCAAAAUCCGGAUUAUUUUUACUAGAGAAACAUAUGAAGAAGCUCGCCAAAAACUACCAGAGGCAGAAAUAAACACAGACCUUACAGACGUGGACUCGCCCCCCGUGAGAAGAAAAAGACACAUUAAAAGGGCACGUUUUUUCGAUGAUAGUGAAACUGAGGAUGAAGCAAACUUUCCACUUCGUGCAGCACCAGCAAUGCAAAUCAACCCCAUCAGGAAAUGUACCAGCAGAGCAGGGAAUUACUCUCAACCACAGGCCAGAGAGGACGCAGAGACUAUGAAUUUGUAUGGCGUUUAAGUGCACUAUAUCUGCAAGGAGUGAACGAAAAAAGAGUGAAUUCGGACGCUGACGUUUACACUGCGCGUCGGAGAGCUGGAGCUGUCGGAGUAAAGGCUUCGCCACACCAUCAUCCCACACUGGUUUCAGUGAAGCUUGGAUACGCAAAAUUCUUGCAAACCAAGAAAUGAUCAAAGAACAGAUGGGAACAUUGGUUAAAUUGGUCUACGACCUCAAAAAAUUAUCAACUACAGAAGACAGCCCAACAUUAAACACAGACUGUUUUCCACUGUCAAGUUUUCAACAACUUCAAGUCAUGGAGGGGCAGCUGCAGCAGGAAGACUACAAAAACGGCUGUGAUAAACACGUUAGCCUUGAGGGGAGGCACAACAGUAAAGGAAAGUGUAUGGCGGAUUCUGAGCUUCCUUCUAUCAAAUGACAUGGCCCGGCAAAUGAACUGGAGGGGAAUCAAUGGAAAAGCAGCAUUCAAAGACACCUCUCUGAAAACUAUAAUUAAUGCUGCAGUCAGAAGAAACCGUUUGACUUCCACUGCAACAGACCAGGAAGUAGAAAACUGGAUAAAGAGAUGGCUGCAGCUUUCUGCAGACAGGGAUGGAGGCCGUCGGGCAAGACAAAAAAAUUGACUGUUUCCUGGUUCUGACACUUUUUCAACGGACUGCUGUUUUUGAACUAUAGAUCGGAUACUCCACUUGUUCAUUAAAUAUUAUAAAUAAUAACCUUGUUCAUAAUAUGUAGACCUUGUCUAAUGUUUUCUUUGGACUGAUUUCUGGCAGUCCUCCUUUUCUGGACCCUCUGCCUGUUUAAUUGUAUGUAUGUAUUAUAUUUAUUGUUUCCUUUUUUGUUUUGUUUGGACUACUUCCUUGGUUUCUUGCAGUCCUCCCCUUCUGGACCCUGCCUGUUUUUAUUUUAUAUUUGUUAUUUAUAUAAUAUGUAUUUAGAAUAUGUAUUGUUUCCUGUUUUGAUUACUAUUUAUACAUUUAAAUGCAUUCAUGAAAUAUUUUAUAUUUAUUAAAUCACUUUUGACUGGUUAUUUGAGUAUUUUCUUUAAUAUAUGAUAAUUAGAUCUGGGCCAGAUGUGGGCCAUGCCAUUUUUUGAGAUUUGGCCCAGAUGUGGCCCAUGUCUGGCCAGUUGUGGCCCAUGCCUUGUCUGAGAUGUGGCCCAUGUCUGGCCCAGUUGUGGCCCA